rnacentral:lncRNA from 1 species
UGGAUGCGUGAGGACCGUGGUUACCUCUUUGGGUCAUGGAAAGCUGCUGAGAGUGAGGGCGGAGGAGUGACAGCUCUUGUAAGUUACAAUGCCAGCUUCGGGGCUGGGUUGCAUCUCCGUGCUAGAGUACCUGCCUGGGAUGUGCCGAGUCAUGAGUUCCAGCCCCGGCACCAGAUCGUUAGUUUUAAAAAAUAUUUUUAAAGGAUUUUAAAACUUUAUUAUUGUGUGUAUGCGUGUUUGCAUGUAUGUAUGUGCACAGGCAUGUGGAUGCUUGAGAGAGGCAAAAAAGGAUGUUGAAUUCCCUGGAGCUGCAUGCAGUUAAAGCAGCUGUGAGCUUCCCAGUGUGGGUGCUGGGACCUGAAUGAACCCUGUUCUCUGGAGAGCAGCAAACGUCCUUCACUCUUGAGCACGUUUUUGUUUGUUUGUUUGUUUGUUUGUUUGUCUUUCUUGUUUUUGAAUGGCAGUUUGUUUUGUUUUUAAAUGUUGGAGAACAGUUCAUGGAAAGCUUGGCUGGGUGCAGAGGCAUUAGUGACAGGCUUCCAAAAAAGCUCGAGUGGUGGCUUUGUUGGGUGCUGGAGGUAGAGGAGGCAGGAGGGGUGGGGUUCUGGGUAAUGUCUCAGAGGCAGUGUGGACAGCCUCUGCUCUCAGUGGGUAUGGGACAUUAGAGACUCAGGUGACCUGUGGGCGAGUCCAGGGCCAGAGCCUCCGGAAGGCUGGAGCUGCUGUUCAUGAGAUGGGAUGACUUCAAAAGGAGGGAAAGAGCCGGGCAGUGGUGGGGCACGAAUUGAGUCCAAGAGAGAAAAAGGAAAAAGACAGGAGCAGGGAGAUCCACUGGAUUCACUGGAAACGGCAGUGACACCGGCUCAACCAUACAGAGUUCCAGCCACAUCUGACACGAGACGACAGGUCUAGCCUAUGCUCAAAUAAGGUAGGAAAGCCCACAGCUUAGCUGCAGGAGAGGAGGACUGUCCCAGCCUGCUCAUCUGAGUCGGGCAGGGUAGAGGAGCGCGCCUCAGGAAAUGUCAGGCUGAGCCCUUGCCUCCUGUGUAUGGGCAGCCCCAUCUCUACCUCCCAGCACCCCCUUCCUCUCCUGUAGGACGGAAGUGGAUUCCAGAGCCUGUCCCCAGGAACCCCUUCUGCUUGUGGGUGGGUUGGGUCUUUGAGUCGGACGUUCCCAUUGUUGAUGGUUGCUCCUGAUUUGAGGUUUGCAUUCUGCCUAGGGGAUGGCGCCAGGUUUACACUGCGGCAGCCUGGCAGGGCUGCCCCUCCUCCGUAACCAUUGCCAGCUACUCACCCUCACAGUGCCUUGUGACAGCCCUGGCUGCCCGGAGCUGCUCAGCCGAGCAGGUUGCCAUGGAGACGAGCCCGUGUAGGCUUCCCCAUCAGUUUGCCAGCAACUUUUCAAGAAGGCUUGGGAGCCCCGGGGUUCCUGUGCAGGCGCAGGCGGUGAGCAGCAUGGAGAGGCACUGGGAAUGAGAGAGGGUGCAGGAAGCUGGAGAAGGGACUGAUGUUUUGAUUCCUCUUGCUCUCAUGUCCCCUUCCCCUUCUGCCAUGAAGAACAGCUCCUUCCAGACGCUGCUGGCUCCCUUGGGCUUCCCAGCCCGCAGAACCAUGCAGCCAAUAAGCAUCGACUGCAUAUGAGUUGCUCAGCCGGGGGUAUUUUGUUAUCGAGGCAGAAUUAGAAUAUGGACCAAAACCUUGUGUGUCUCAGGUAAGGUUAUGGUGUGGGCACAGCACACAGUUGGGGUCAUUAUGCUUAAGGGAGCCCACAGUUUGAGUGUGUAUACCCGAGGAGGCCAGAGAUGUCAGAUCCCCCCUAGAGCAGGAGUAACAGU